AGGGUGACAGCCCCGUACACAAAAAUGCACAUACUGUGAGCUCGAUGAGUAGGGCGGGACACGUGGUAUCCUGUCUGAAUAUGGGGGGACCAUCCUCCAAGGCUAAAUACUCCUGACUGACCGAUAGUGAACCAGUACCGUGAGGGAAAGGCGAAAAGAACCCCGGCGAGGGGAGUGAAAAAGAACCUGAAACCGUGUACGUACAAGCAGUGGGAGCACGCUUCGGCGUGUGACUGCGUACCUUUUGUAUAAUGGGUCAGCGACUUAUAUUCUGUAGCAAGGUUAACCGAAUAGGGGAGCCGAAGGGAAACCGAGUCUUAACUGGGCGUUAAGUUGCAGGGUAUAGACCCGAAACCCGGUGAUCUAGCCAUGGGCAGGUUGAAGGUUGGGUAACACUAACUGGAGGACCGAACCGACUAAUGUUGAAAAAUUAGCGGAUGACUUGUGGCUGGGGGUGAAAGGCCAAUCAAACCGGGAGAUAGCUGGUUCUCCCCGAAAGCUAUUUAGGUAGCGCCUCGUGAAUUCAUCUCCGGGGGUAGAGCACUGUUUCGGCAAGGGGGUCAUCCCGACUUACCAACCCGAUGCAAACUGCGAAUACCGGAGAAUGUUAUCACGGGAGACACACGGCGGGUGCUAACGUCCGUCGUGAAGAGGGAAACAACCCAGACCGCCAGCUAAGGUCCCAAAGUCAUGGUUAAGUGGGAAACGAUGUGGGAAGGCCCAGACAGCCAGGAUGUUGGCUUAGAAGCAGCCAUCAUUUAAAGAAAGCGUAAUAGCUCACUGGUCGAGUCGGCCUGCGCGGAAGAUGUAACGGGGCUAAACCAUGCACCGAAGCUGCGGCAGCGACACUAUGUGUUGUUGGGUAGGGGAGCGUUCUGUAAGCCUGUGAAGGUGUACUGUGAGGUAUGCUGGAGGUAUCAGAAGUGCGAAUGCUGACAUAAGUAACGAUAAAGCGGGUGAAAAGCCCGCUCGCCGGAAGACCAAGGGUUCCUGUCCAACGUUAAUCGGGGCAGGGUGAGUCGACCCCUAAGGCGAGGCCGAAAGGCGUAGUCGAUGGGAAACAGGUUAAUAUUCCUGUACUUGGUGUUACUGCGAAGGGGGGACGGAGAAGGCUAUGUUGGCCGGGCGACGGUUGUCCCGGUUUAAGCGUGUAGGCUGGUUUUCCAGGCAAAUCCGGAAAAUCAAGGCUGAGGCGUGAUGACGAGGCACUACGGUGCUGAAGCAACAAAUGCCCUGCUUCCAGGAAAAGCCUCUAAGCAUCAGGUAACAUCAAAUCGUACCCCAAACCGACACAGGUGGUCAGGUAGAGAAUACCAAGGCGCUUGAGAGAACUCGGGUGAAGGAACUAGGCAAAAUGGUGCCGUAACUUCGGGAGAAGGCACGCUGAUAUGUAGGUGAAGCGACUUGCUCGUGGAGCUGAAAUCAGUCGAAGAUACCAGCUGGCUGCAACUGUUUAUUAAAAACACAGCACUGUGCAAACACGAAAGUGGACGUAUACGGUGUGACGCCUGCCCGGUGCCGGAAGGUUAAUUGAUGGGGUUAGCGGUAACGCGAAGCUCUUGAUCGAAGCCCCGGUAAACGGCGGCCGUAACUAUAACGGUCCUAAGGUAGCGAAAUUCCUUGUCGGGUAAGUUCCGACCUGCACGAAUGGCGUAAUGAUGGCCAGGCUGUCUCCACCCGAGACUCAGUGAAAUUGAACUCGCUGUGAAGAUGCAGUGUACCCGCGGCAAGACGGAAAGACCCCGUGAACCUUUACUAUAGCUUGACACUGAACAUUGAGCCUUGAUGUGUAGGAUAGGUGGGAGGCUUUGAAGUGUGG
rnacentral:rRNA from 1 species